rnacentral:rRNA from 1 species
UACGUAGGGUCCGAGCGUUGUCCGGAAUUACUGGGCGUAAAGCGCACGUAGGCGGCUUUGCAAGUCGGAUGUGAAAUCCCUCGGCUCAACCAAGGAAGUGCAUCCGAAACUGCAGAGCUUGAGUACUUAAGAGGAUCGCGGAAUUCCCGGUGUAGAGGUGAAAUUCGUAGAUAUCGGGAGGAACGCCAGUGGCGAAGGCGGCGAUCUGGGAAGAUACUGACGCUGAGGUGCGAAAGCGUGGGGAGCAAACAGG